rnacentral:rRNA from 1 species
AACGAACGCUGGCGGCAUGCCUAACACAUGCAAGUCGAACGAGACCUUCGGGUCUAGUGGCGCACGGGUGCGUAACGCGUGGGAAUCUGCCCUGGGGUGCGGAAUAACUCGGAGAAAUCCGUGCUAAUACCGCAUAAUGUCUUCGGACCAAAGAUUUAUCGCCCUGGGAUGAGCCCGCGUAGGAUUAGCUAGUUGGUGGGUAAAGGCCUACCAAGGCGACGAUCCUUAGCUGGUCUGAGAGGAUGAUCAGCCACACUGGGACUGAGACACGGCCCAGACUCCUACGGGAGGCAGCAGUGGGGAAUAUUGGACAAUGGGCGAAAGCCUGAUCCAGCAAUGCCGCGUGAGUGAUGAAGGCCCUAGGUGUAAAGCUCUUUACCCGGGUAUGAUAAUGACAGUACCGGGAGAAUAAGCUCCGGCUAACUCCGUGCCAGCAGCCG